ensembl:lincRNA
UCCACGGUCCCAGGCUCGGCCGGCCAUGCUGGGUUUAGCGGUCACCUUCUUGGGAUCCUCACUUGGGCAAAUCAGCCUCAGUCCAACUGCAUAGGCCCUGGGAACUCUUUGUGGGUGAAGGGAGGCUCAGAUGAGUACCACCCUCCCCGGCUCCCCUUCAGAUGGUGACACGGAAGCUCAGGAGGUGACCAGGCUCCCCCAGAGCCACCCCACAGGGACUCAGACCCCAAGCAGGAGCUGGUGGGGCAGCUGGUCUAUGCCGAGGCCCCAGCGAGUUAGGCCAGCUGCAAGCUCUGCCUCCCCAUCAGAGCAGCUCCGUGUCCUUUUUCCAGCCGGGGAAACUGAGGCAUGGCUCAGGGUAGGAGCUGCCUGCCUGGGAGGUGGCCUGGCCCAGUGCCCGCGCAGGGGCGGGGUCUCUGUGAAUUGCCCCUCAGUCCCCGAAGACCACAAGCCGGUUGGGUGAAAGGCGGCUGCUCCCCGCCCACUUCCCCGCCAACGUGGGCCAGAACAAUAGGCCUUUGUGCCCUGCGUGGGCAGGUUGUCAAGGUGAGCAGCCCUGGCCCGGGGCCCUGGCCGAGGCCUCCACCAAGGCGGGGGCCAGGCAGGGGGUCCGCGGGGGCGGAAGGGAAGCAGAGAGAAGGUGCUGAGGCUCCCGGGCCACACAGCGCCUGGGCCUGGGAGGCCGGCUGGGAGGCGGGGACGCCAGGCCCCUCCACGUGGUCCGGUGCCCCUGCAACUGGAAGGCACCCCAGGAGCUCAGCAGAAUCCCCUGCCCUCCCCACCCUCUCAUACCUGCCCCGCCCUUCCUCAAGGCCCCAACCCAAAGCCCCCAUCUCUGGGAGGCCCCCAGAUUGCGUCAGCUGCAUCAUCACUAGGAAAAUGUCACCCCCUCGCAGGGCCCCCACCGGCUCGAGCCCCCUCAGGAUCAUGAACCCUGCGGAAAGUCACCUGGCCAGGUUGACACCCGUUCGGGCCACAGGAGGAGGAUGUGGGGAGAGACCAAGCCCUGCCCUCCGGCCCCCACCUUCAGCCAACAGUGACAGUGACGGUGACCAGUGGCUGCCUGGUACUGAGCAUCAGCCUGGUGCUGUCAGAGCCUCAUCUUUUCAUCACCCAACCCCUAGAAACAGGAUCUCAUUUUACAGGUGGGGAAACUGAGGCCCAAGAAGGCAACUUGCCAAGGUCCCCCAGCUGAUAAAUGGGUCCCAGCACUGCCAGAGUUCACCGAAGGUCUCUGCUUGCUCAGCCCCGGUAAUCCCUGUGCCUGGAAGGGUAAAUGUCCCCUAAUUUGGGGUUUCUUUCUUUGAGAUUCGGUCUCACUGAGUCAUUCAGGCUGGCCUUGAACUCACUGUGGAGCCCAGGCUGGCCUCAAACUCACAGCAAUCCUUCUGCCUCAGCCUCCCGAGUGCUGCAAUUACAGGCGUGCCACCAUACCCAGUAAAUGCCCCUAACUUACAGAUGAGGACCAAGGCUCUGUGUAGCAAAGUCACAUGGCCAUGGUCACACAGCCAGGAGGUAGGAGCAGGGAUUCAACCCAGCAGCUGGUGCCGAGUGCCAACCUUGUUUCUUCCCGCCCUCACCACAGCCAGGUUCCCAAAUGUCACUCAAACCCAACUGCACUGCCUGAUCCUUCCUCAUCCUCGUCUCCCAUCCCGAUGGAUCCCAGAGUCCCCCACUGUCCUGGUGGCCUUGCCCGACACCGGAAUCUUCGUAUGCGGGGCCUUAGGAAGAGUGCCAUGGGGUGGCCUGCUCGAGCGACAGAGGCUACAGAGAAGGGACGGGUGUACUGAGCCACCUGGCCACUGAGGCCCCCUGGGGAAGGGGCAGUGGGAAGCAAACCGCAGGGACAAACGUCCAAGAGGCACCAUCUGUGCCCAGUGGCCCACAACCAAAGAGGCCCCAAACUCCCAGGGACGCGGUGCAUGCACACGCACACACGUGUGCACACACACACACACAUGCGCGUGUGCAUAUGAUGCGGCCCGACCACCAUCACCACACUAGGAAACGUGCGCGUUCCCACGAAGCGACCCCAACCCCAGACACACCAGAGGCCCAGCCACCCUCGUGGCCCAGAAGCCAAGCAUGCGGGUGUCCAGGGCAGAGGGAGCUGGACACGGCAUCACCGGACAGGAGGGCAGCCGGGCCCAGCCCACCCCGUCCACCCCGCAACUCAACCUCGGAGACACAACCGGGACCAAAGCCUGGAACGCCACAGAAGAACACCCUAGUGUGACCGCGACCGGAGACUCCGGGGCUGACGCUUCCUGGGUCCUGGUCCCCUGGGAGCCCACAGCCACUUACACUCACGCACUUAGUUUGUGCAUUUUUCCACGUUCGAUGUAAACCUCCAUCAGGCAAGAGAAGGACAAAGACGUGCAUGGGAUUAACAAAUGCCUGACCCAGGAACCUGGAAGAGAGGCACAGGUGGGCACAGUCACACAGGAAGCAGGGGUCGCCUGCACUGAGCAGUUUUCUUUCUUAACCCAAGUAAUGGCUGCAUUGAAGCUCAUUUUGUUAUCCUUUUGACUUUAUGGAUGUCUGAAAACCAAACCACAAACAACAGCCACUUCCACAGCCUGCCUGUCUUGCUCCGGAACACACAAUGGCUCCCUACUGCCUCCCGGCUGUGGCCCACCCUCCGGCUCGCCAGCCAAGGUCUCAUCCUGGGCCUCAACCUGUCUUUCCAGCCCAUGUGCUCAUCCCUCCCCGCCGCGAGGCUGGUCCUCUCUCUUCCCCUAACACGCCUCAAACAUUCCCGUCUCCACGCCUGUCCUCCCACCUGGAAUGUCCUCCCCAUGCCUGCCUCCUUGCUCUGCACAGGCACCAUGCCCAGUGCUUGGGGCGAUUAACUCCUGAGAUCUGGGGCCCAGUCGUGGGGAAAUUGGGGCAUUACUUUCAGCCCCAAAUAAAGUCUAUCAUUAGCUCCCAAAGCCACCCAAAUAAACAAGUACAGAGGGGUGCUGCAGCUGGGCAUAGUGAUGUACAUCUGUGACCCCAGCUUUCUGGGAGGCUGAGGCAGGCGGGUUACAAGUUCAAGCUCAGCCUAGACAGUUUAGAGACUUAGCAAGUCUGGGUCCCAAAAUAAAAAAUGAAAAGGCCAUGCAGAUGUAGCUCAGUGUGGAAGCCCUGGGUUCAUUCCUCAGUAUCCCCACACACAAAAUAGUACUAGUGGCCAUUUUCAGGUCAACCUCUUCAUGCCUGGCCAUCCCAUAAACCCCUUCAGAAUAAGAAUUCUGGCUGACUUAAUCUUUAUCAUUCCUAGCGAAUGGGUCUUUAUCAUUCCCAUUUUACAUGGGGGAAAAUAAGACUCAGAAAGGUAAGUGACUUGCUGGAGACAUUCACCAAACACUAACCUGCUCCCAUGAUCCUUUCCUCCUCUGAGGAGCUUCAUAGCAUGAAUGGCCCCUUGUGUGCUCCUGCCUCAGGGACUUUGCACUUGCUGUUCCUGAUGUCUGGAAUGCCCUUCUACCAAGCAUCCCCAUUUCCCACUCUUUCUCCACAUUCUGAUCACAAAAUUCAACUCAGCAUAAUCUCAGACACCCCCCCACUCCCACCCCAUCUUUCUCUAGCACUUAAUUGUAUUGUAUUCUAUUCAGAGAGCUCAGUGAUACCUAAACCUCCUUCACCACAACAUGCACACCCUACCAGCAAGGCUAUGUCCAGAGCUGGCAGAGUAGGUGCUCAGUAAACCACCAACCGCCCCACCCAGGGCGGCACAGCAAGGACACACAGAGAGGGGCUUCACUCUCUGAAUCCUCUGGCUCACCGCCCAGCUGUCCAGGUGUAAGCUGCCCUGGGCUCCUGGGGACAGAAAGCAGGGAUGGCACCACAGCCCGCACAGCCACAGCCCCACCGCAGCCCACUGAGCCGGCGGAGGGGCCCGCAUGCACCCCGGACACAGAGCAAUCCUACAAUGACAGAAUGGGC